CAGCAGCCCGAGUGGUGAUCCUUUUUAUUGGGCCUAAAGCGUCCGUAGCCGGACUAGUAAAUCCUUGGGUAAAUCGUAUCGCUUAACGGUACGAAUUCUGGGGAGACUGCUAGUCUUGGAACUGGGAGAGGUCGGAGGUACUCCAGGGGUAGGGGUGAAAUCCUGUAAUCCUUGGGGGACCACCAGUGGCGAAGGCGUCCGACUAGAACGGAUUCGACGGUGAGGGACGAAGCCGUGGGUCACAAACCGGAUUAGAUACCCGAGUAGUCC
rnacentral:rRNA from 1 species